rnacentral:misc_RNA from 1 species
CGCACAUUGCGCCCCUUGGUAUUCCGAGGGGCAUGCCUGUUCGAGCGUCAUUAUCACCCCUCAAGCCUAGCUUGGUGUUGGAUUUAGUCAAAGCUCUGAGCUGCGACCAAUCUCAAAGGUAGUGACGGCGCCCUAGAAGGACCCGGUACGAGGAGCUUUUAAUCAAGCAUGUACACGGUUGGAUUCUACGGGCGGCGGUCUUUCAUUUAUCAUUAUAAAGUGUUGACCUCGGAUCAGGUAGGAAUACCCGCUGAACUUAA